AUACUGGUCAUUCAGUGGUAGAAUUCUUGCCUUUCAUGCAGGAGGUCUGGAUUUAAGUCCCAGCCAAUGUG
rnacentral:tRNA from 1 species